UACAGAGGUCCCAAGCGUUGUUCGGAUUCACUGGGCGUAAAGGGUGCGUAGGUGGUCGGGUAAGUCUGAUGUGAAAUCUCCGAGCUCAACUCGGAAAUGGCAUUGGAUACUACUUGGCUAGAGGGUUGGAGGGGGGACUGGAAUACUUGGUGUAGCAGUGAAAUGCGUAGAUAUCAAGUGGAACACCAGUGGCGAAGGCGGCUCACUGGCCCGGUACUGACGCUGAGGUGCGAAAGCGUGGGGAGCAAACAGG
rnacentral:rRNA from 1 species